AGAAUUCGUGAUUACUCCUACGGGAGGCAGCAGUGGGRAAUUUKGGACAAUGGGCGCAAGCCUGAUCCAGCAAUGCCSCGUGAGRGAAGAAGGCCUUCGGGUUGUAAAGCUCUUUUGUCAGGGAAGAAACGGUAGGAGCUAAUAUCUCUUGCUWAUGACGGUACCUGAAGAAUAAGCACCGGCUAACUACGUGCCAGCAGCCGCGGUAAUACGUAGGGUGCAAGCGUUAAUCGGAAUUACUGGGCGUAAAGCGUGCGCAGGCGGUUUUGUAAGUCUGACGUGAAAUCCCCGGGCUCAACCUGGGAAUUGCGUUGGAGACUGCAAGGCUAGAAUCUGGCAGAGGGGGGUAGAAUUCCACGUGUAGCAGUGAAAUGCGUAGAGAUGUGGAGGAACACCGAUGGCGAAGGCAGCCCCCUGGGUCAAGAUUGACGCUCAUGCACGAAAGCGUGGGGAGCAAACAGGAUUAGAUACCCUGGUAGUCCACGCCCUAAACGAUGUCUACUAGUUGUCGGGUCUUAAUUGACUUGGUAACGCAGCUAACGCGUGAAGUAGACCGCCUGGGGAGUACGGUCGCAAGAUUAAAACUCAAAGGAAUUGACGGA
rnacentral:rRNA from 1 species